rnacentral:misc_RNA from 1 species
GUGAAUCAUCGAAUUUUUGAACGCAAAUUGCACUCUCCUCGGAUAGUAGGCCUGUCUGAGGGUCAGCCUAUAAAAAAUCGACAUCGUUGCUGUUUCACGUUGACGUUCGUCGGAAAUUGGUGCAUCUUGAAUCUUUUGUGUUUAAGCGACUUAAAAUUUUCUUUUUAGUUCCAUGAACUUUUCUAAGAUUUAUGUCUUUACACGUUUAAGGUAUCGAGUUUUAUUAGACGUGACCAUCAUAUCUUAUCUCGUCCUUAAGCUUUCAUUAACUGACCUCAGUCAGGUAAUGGU